rfam:Camelus ferus unplaced genomic scaffold scaffold279, whole genome shotgun sequence.
GAGGGUAGAGCUCAGUGGUAGAGGGCAGGCUUAGCACGCACGAGGUCCUGGGUUCAAUCCCCAGUACCUCCA